UGGGUAACCUGCCUUAUAUGGGGGAUAGCCUUUCGAAAGGAAGAUUAAUACCGCAUAAGAUUGUAGUAUCGCAUGAUAUAGCAGUUAAAGGAGCAAUUCGCUAUAAGAUGGACCCGCGUCGCAUUAGCUAGUUGGUGAGGUAAUGGCUCACCAAGGCGACGAUGCGUAGCCGACCUGAGAGGGUGAUCGGCCACAUUGGGACUGAGACACGGCCCAGACUCCUACGGGAGGCAGCAUG
rnacentral:rRNA from 1 species